AUUGAACGCUGGCGGCAUGCCUUACACAUGCAAGUCGAACGGCAGCACGGGUGCUUGCACCUGGUGGCGAGUGGCGAACGGGUGAGUAAUACAUCGGAACAUGUCCUGUAGUGGGGGAUAGCCCGGCGAAAGCCGGAUUAAUACCGCAUACGAUCUACGGAUGAAAGCGGGGGACCUUCGGGCCUCGCGCUAUAGGGUUGGCCGAUGGCUGAUUAGCUAGUUGGUGGGGUAAAGGCCCACCAAGGCGACGAUCAGUAGCUGGUCUGAGAGGACGACCAGCCACACUGGGACUGAGACACGGCCCAGACUCCUACGGGAGGCAGCAGUGGGGAAUUUUGGACAAUGGGCGAAAGCCUGAUCCAGCAAUGCCGCGUGUGUGAAGAAGGCCUUCGGGUUGUAAAGCACUUUUGUCCGGAAAGAAAUCCUUGGCUCUAAUACAGCCGGGGGAUGACGGUACCGGAAGAAUAAGCACCGGCUAACUACGUG
rnacentral:rRNA from 1 species